AAAAUGACUCUCGGCAACGGAUAUCUCGGCUCUCGCAUCGAUGAAGAACGUAGCGAAAUGCGAUACUUGGUGUGAAUUGCAGAAUCCCGUGAACCAUCGAGUCUUUGAACGCAAGUUGCGCCCAAAGCCUUCUGGUUGAGGGCACGUCUGCCUGGG
rnacentral:rRNA from 1 species